AGAGUUUGAUCAUGCCUCAGAUUGAACGCUGGCGGAAUGCUUUACACAUGCAAGUCGAACGGCAGCAUAGGUGCUUGCACCUGAUGGCGAGUGGCGAACGGGUGAGUAAUACAUCGGAACGUGCCCAGUCGUGGGGGAUAACGUAGCGAAAGUUACGCUAAUACCGCAUACGAUCUACGGAUGAAAGCGGGGGACCGUAAGGCCUCGCGCGAUUGGAGCGGCCGAUGUUAGAUUAGGUAGUUGGUGGGGUAAAGGCUCACCAAGCCGACGAUCUAUAGCUGGUCUGAGAGGAUGAUCAGCCACACUGGGACUGAGACACGGCCCAGACUCCUACGGGAGGCAGCAGUGGGGAAUUUUGGACAAUGGGCGCAAGCCUGAUCCAGCCAUUCCGCGUGCAGGACGAAGGCCUUCGGGUUGUAAACUGCUUUUGUACAGAACGAAAAGCCUUGGGUUAAUACCCUGGGGUCAUGACGGUACUGUAAGAAUAAGCACCGGCUAACUACGUGCCAGCAGCCGCGGUAAU
rnacentral:rRNA from 1 species